GGGGCUGACUUGGAUUUCGACAGAUUUCUUGUCGCACAGAUAGCAUGCCAAGCGCUACUUGUAAAACAGCAACAAAAAUAACUGUAAACAACGCAGAUUACGCUCCAGCUUACGCUAAAGUUGCGUGAGUUAAUCUCCUUUUGGAGCUGGACUGAUUAGAAUUUCUAGCGUUUUAAUCACUCCAUAACCUUAAGCUAGACGCUUUUAAAAGGUGGUUCGCCUUUUAAACUAAGAAACAAGAACUCUUGAAACUACCUCAAGGUUUUAGAAAGUUGGACCAGAGCUAGUUUUAAGGCUAAAAAGCUAAUCAAUUUUCUAAGCAUUGUAGAAGUUUGUGUUUAGGACAAGAUUUUUGGACUGGGGUUCGAUUCCCCACAGCUCCACCA
rnacentral:tmRNA from 1 species